rnacentral:snRNA from 1 species
GCUCACUUAUACUAAAAUCGGAAUAUUACAUAGAUUAGCAUGCCUGUGGGCAAGGAUAACACAAAAAUUCAUGAAGCGUUUCCUAUUUUU